AGGGGCUCUUCUAUUAAACGUAGGCUGUGUCAUGGGUGGUACCGGGUUAGGUCUGGGGUUGGCUACAGGACCUGGCGUUGGUGCGCUGUACCUUACCAGAGGACGGUUCCCACCCGCUUCUCCUUUUCUUCCCUCAUGAUGCUCAUCCGCUAGCUUUGCUGCUUCCUCGACUGUGGACAGCUUCCUGUCUCUGACCUAGUCCCUGGUAUAUGCAGGAGUGUGGUCAAAAAAUUGUUCUAGC